AUUGAACGCUGGCGGCAGGCCUAACACAUGCAAGUCGAACGAGUGGCGGACGGGUGAGUAAUGUCUGGGAAACUGCCUGAUGGAGGGGGAUAACUACUGGAAACGGUAGCUAAUACCGCAUACCAUCGGAUGUGCCCAGAUGGGAUUAGCUUGUAGGUGGGGUAAAGGCUCACCUAGGCGACGAUCCCUAGCUGGUCUGAGAGGAUGACCAGCCACACGGGACCUGGGACACGGUCCAGACUCCACCGGGAGGCAGCAGUGGGGAUGAUUGCACAAGGGGCGCAAGCCUGAUGCAGCCAUGCCGCGUGUAUGAAGAAGGCCUUCGGGUUGUAAAGUACUUUCAGCGGGGAGGCGUUACCCGCAGAAGAAGCACCGGCUAACUCCGUGCCAGCAGCCGCGGUAAUUC
rnacentral:rRNA from 1 species